GCUUCUGUAGUUUAGUUGGUUAGAACAUUUGUCUCAUAUUGCUAACGACAUGAGUCAUCAGAAGAUCGUGAGUUCGAACCUCACUAGAAGCA
rnacentral:tRNA from 2 species